rnacentral:rRNA from 1 species
UACAGAGGUCUCGAGCGUUAGGCGGAAUCACUGGGCUUAAAGCGUGUGUAGGCGGAUCGGUAAGUACCUUGUGAAAUCCCACAGCUUAACUGUGGAACUGCUUGGUAUACUGCCAGUCUUGAGCCAGCUAGGGGCUACCGGAACAAAUGGUGGAGCGGUGAAAAUGCGUAGAGUAUCAUUUGGAACGCCAAUGGUGAAAACAGGUAGCUGGG